rnacentral:tRNA from 1 species
GGUGGGUUGGCUCAGUGGUUAGAGCGUAGGUCUCGUAACCGAAAGGUUGCGAAAUCGAAUCCCGCUAGAGGUUG